rnacentral:rRNA from 1 species
GGAAUAUUGGACAAUGGGCGCAAGCCUGAUCCAGCCAUGCCGCGUGGAUGAUGAAGGCCCUAGGGUUGUAAAGCCCUUUCGGUGGGGAAGAAAAGCCUCGACCUAAUACGUCGGGGUCUUGACGUAACCCACAAAAGAAGCACCGGCUAACUCUGUGCCAGCAGCCGCGGUAAUACAGAGGGUGCGAGCGUUAAUCGGAAUUACUGGGCGGAAAGCGCACGUAGGCGGCUCUGCAAGUCGGGUGUGAAAUCCCCGGGCUCAACCUGGGAACUGCAUUCGAUACUGCAUUGCUGGAGUAUGGGAGAGGGAAGUGGAAUUUCCGGUGUAGCGGUGAAAUGCGUAGAUAUCGGAAGGAACACCAGUGGCGAAAGCGACUUCCUGGACCAAUACUGACGCUCAGGUGCGAAAGCGUGGGGAGCAAAC